rnacentral:rRNA from 1 species
UACGGGGGGAGCAAGCGUUGUUCGGAUUUACUGGGCGUAAAGGGCGCGUAGGCGGUCGUGACAAGUCACUUGUGAAAUCUCCCGGGCUUAACUCGGAACGGUCAAGUGAUACUGUCGGACUAGAGUACAGAAGGGGCAACUGGAAUUCUCGGUGUAGCGGUGAAAUGCGUAGAUAUCGAGAGGAACACCUGCGGCGAAGGCGGGUAGCUGGGCCGACACUGACGCUGAGGCGCGAAAGCCAGGGGAGCGAACGGG